UGUGUAGGCGGUUGCUUAAGUUUGGUGUGAAAUCUCCCGGCUCAACUGGGAGGGUGCGCCGAAUACUGAGUGACUAGAGUGCGGGAGAGGAGAGUGGAAUUCCUGGUGUAGCGGUGAAAUGCGUAGAUAUCAGGAGGAACACCGGUGGUGUAGACGGCUCUCUGGACCGUAACUGACGCUGAGACACGAAAGCGUGGGUAGCAAACAGGAUUAGAUACCCUGGUAGUCCACGCCCUAAACGAUGCAUAUUUGGUGUGGGCAGUUCAGUCUGUCCGUGCCGGAGCUAACGCGUUAAAUAUGCCGCCUGGGGAGUACAGUCGCAAGGCUGGA
rnacentral:rRNA from 1 species